rnacentral:rRNA from 1 species
CUUUUCCUUAUUUGCCAGCGGGUUAAGCCGGGAACUUUAAGGAUACUGCCAGUGACAAACUGGAGGAAGGCGGGGACGACGUCAAGUCAUCAUGGCCCUUACGACCAGGGCUACACACGUGCUACAAUGGUCGGUACAAAGGGUUGCUACCUCGCGAGAGGAUGCUAAUCUCAAAAAGCCGAUCGUAGUCCGGAUUGGAGUCUGCAACUCGACUCCAUGAAGUCGGAAUCGCUAGUAAUCGCGGAUCAGAAUGCCGCGGUGAAUACGUUCCCGGGCCUUGUACACACCGCCCGUCACACCAUGGGAGUUUGUUGCACCAGAAGUAGGUAGUCUAACCUUAGGG